UUCUAAACUUUAGUACUUGGCUCAGAAGGAAGUCACAACACCCGUUCGUUUAUUUAUUUUUUGUUCCAGUGAUCAGCCUACAGGAAAUGCUAUUGCCCUUGUCCUUAGGCUGACUACCAACCUGACUCACUAACAUGAAACAUUUGUGCUGUGCCUGUGAUGUCUGAGAUCUAAGUUAUACUGAGCUAGAGAAUGUCGUAUAGACACUUUUUUUGUUUUUUUUUUUCGAGACAGGGUUUCUCUGUAUAGUCCAGGCUGUCCUGGAACUCACUUUGUAGACCAGGCUGGCCUCAAACUCAGAAAUCCGCCUGCCUCUGCCUCCCGAGUGCUGGGACUAAAGGCGUGCGCCACCACGCCCGGCUGUAUAGACAGUCUUUAACUGUCGAAAGUUACCUACCACGCGGUCAGGAAGGGAUCCGUGUUCCACCUCUGCCACUGACCUGCCCAGCCUGGGAAGGUUGAAUCUGUAAACAUGGUUAUCCAGCCAAGCUGGGAGAAGCUUAGAGACCAGUUCUCCAGGUUAAAGUACUUUUUAACAAUACACACCUUUAUACAUUGAGCUGCAAUCUGAUUUCUUUGAACUUUAAAUACUUUGUGCGGUAUAAAUAGAUUUAAUGUAUUAAACAUAUUAAAUAAUUACAAAUAAAAGAUUUAAAAAUACUGGUUUUUCCUGUAUUGUCACUGUUAGAAAUCCUUCAAGCACUCCUGCCUCCCUAUCCUGUGCAUUCCAGAGCUCUGUGCAGUUGCCCAGGCAUUGGCAUGGCUCCUGGCAUGGGUUACUCCUCCUCUGUGUUUCCCCUGGACUCAUGACUGCCCAGCUGAAAAUUGUUUCUCAGCCUCCCUGCAGGUGUGGCCCCAUGACAGUUCCAGGCAGUGAGAUGGAAGACUUCUAGCUUGAAGCUUACACAGAGGCAUGGUGUGCAUGCCCCUGAAAGUUCCCUGGCUUGCUGGUCAGGAUGUCUGUGAGAGCCUCAGGCGUCUCCUGGCAUUUCAGGAGAGGGUGGAUGGUCUACUAGUCAAGAACAGCUAUCUUUGACCAGAUACUUUGGAGUGAAAUAAAUGAAGUGUUAUUUAAUACUGUUUUAACAUCUAAUUGGUGUAAUGUAUGUAACACACUAAUGCUGUAAGUUUCCUGUGUAUCUCACGUUCGCACUAUGCAGGUCUUUUCACUUAUGUACCUCUGCUUUCGCUGACCUGCUGAUCUCCAAACCCAUCACAGGCUCACUUUCCUCAGGCUUGCCCACAGCAACUAGUUUCCAUCUUGGUACAUUGUUUUAAAAUUAGUCUUGUUUCAUAAAAUAACCUUACUUUAAUUUGAAUUUCCCUGAUUUAACACCAGACAGAAUACCAUAUUCACCUAGUUUCCUCAGUAUAAAUGAAAGACAGUUAUGAAAGAGGCAAGAACAAAAAGCCAUUCUGGGCUAGUCCAUCAUCCGCCACCACUCCAAAUGCCAGCUUCGACUCAUCGUAGUGCACUGCAAGGCUGACGUCAGACCCCGUGUCUGUCUGUUCCCUCACACUCUGCACGCUGACGUUUGUCACCUGUGGGAAAGUCCAUUUUCCUUUUUAUCUCGUCCUCUGUGUCUUAUUUUUGUGCAUUUCCUGUUCCAAGCAAAUGAUAGAAUUAGCUUAUUAGAUUCCACUGAAGUGUUGCUCUUUUGGCCGGGAUUGCAUUAGUUUGCCCAUUAAUUGGAAGAUAAUAGACUUCUUUAUAAUUAAUAUAAUUUUCCCAUUAGUAUUAUGAGAGGCCUAAUUUUAUUGCUUGGGUAACAUUCCUCAUAAGGGUUCAGUUUUAUAUUAGCUUCGUUCUAGAUGUUUUACAGAAUUUUUGUUUAGGAUUUUAAAGGAUCUUUUACUUUCACAUAAAAAAAAAAGUGGAGAUGCUUGACUCAUUCCUGUGUCACCUCUGUGUUGCUUAUCACUGGAAGCGUUUACAUUCAAAGCUGCUACAUUCAGUUUUUUAAUAUCCUAUGGUCAUGAUGCAAUCUUGUGAAUGGCCUUGUUAGUUACAAUGUGGUUUGGAUGGGAAGUGUCCCACCUGUAGACUCACGUCUUUGAACAUGUGGUUCCUAGCUCAUGAUGCCCUUUUGGACCUCCUGAUGGCUGCUAUGACAGACUGUGUCACCUGUAAUGUGAGCCAAAAAUGAACCCUUCUUUCCUUAGGUUCUUUUGUCUGGGUAUUUUGUCAGCAAUAAGGUAAAUGACUAAAUGUAAUUAUACAGAAAUAGAUAUUUUCCUAACAUUUGAAAACUGUAGAUCAUUCUCUCCUUCCUGAUUUAUACAUUUAUAAAGCCACCAAUCCACCAUUAUGUCCCAUGUCCAUAUAAUCAUGGAAAUGUGCCUGAACUCUAUAUUUUGUUAACUUUGUCCAUUCAUCUUUACCAAUAAACCAUUUUUAAUCAUGUAGGUUUCUAAUUGACUGUCAAAAAUUGUAGAGCAACUCUUGGAUCUUUGUUAUAUCUUGGAUAUAUUAGAUCAUCUUGUCACAUUGGGAUUUUGUGACUACAAUGAAUGAGCAGACUUGUUGAGGAUUAUUUAUGAUGCUGGGUCCCGUGCAUCUCUGAAUAAGCCAUAGCUAUGUAUUUUUAUUACAUGUUUAUAAAGAAAUAAUUGUGCUAUAUCUCGCAUUUUGUAAUAGACAACUUACGUAUGCAUAGAUAGAAAAUGUGUAUCAUGCAAGCAAUUCUAUCAAAUCUUGGUGAGAACAGUGAGUCUGAUGUACAACUUACGCUUAGUCCCAACCUUGAUUUUGUACCUGUAGUAAAGGACACCUUCUGAAAACCCACGUGUUCUCAUUUAUACAGGCUCGUCUCCUGCUUCUCUCUACGUUGGCUUUGCUAACUGAUGUUAUAUGUAUCAUCUAGCAACUUUGCUGAACUUGCACUCUGAUCUGUAAAUUGUCCUAUAAUACUUGGAUCAGCUGUAAUAGUAACGAUUGUGUUUCACGUGUUCCAAUAUGCACACGCUCUGAUACGGAGUAGAAAUGAUUACAGGUGGCAUAGUACUUCGCCAUCUCUCUUUCCUGCCAUCGAGGAGAAGCUCUAACACCUACAGUUGCUGUUUCCUAAUAGAUGGCUUAGUUGGGUUAAGGGAAUAUUCUUUCCAGUUUUAAAUCCACUGCUGGAUUUCAUUAAAUGUUUCUCCUGCUUUU
rnacentral:lncRNA from 1 species